AGAGAGAGUGAGAGAGAGAGAGAACAGCGGGUGACGUGUACAGCUGCCCGCACGAGAUAGGAGGCCCCGUCUAUUUGGGUAUAAAUUUUCGCUUGACCAACGGGUUUCCGUUGAGCGAAAAGACUCCCGCAACACACAAAAAAAAAAAAGGAAAACGGAAACCAGAAACCAAAAUACACGAAGCUCUCUCUCUCUCUCUCUCUCUCUCUCUCUCUCUCUCUCUCUUUCUGUGUUUCAUUCUCUCUCUCUCUUUCUGUGUUUCAUUCUCUCAUUCUCUAGUUCAUCCUCGCGAUUCUUCAUCGUUCUCCUUCGUCUGUUUAAGUUUCAUUUCUAGAUCCGUUUUUAUAAGUGUAUGAUAUUGGUAUUAUUCUCUUAUUUUUACUUCACAAUUGCUUACGAGAGGUUGUCGAUUGUGAUGUGAUUUGAUUUUGGAUUUUGAGGAUGACAAACAAAAACGUAGAACCCUUGCAGUCUCAGGGAGAAGUUGUCGGUCCACCUCCUCCUCCAGCCGGUCAGGCACCUGGUCCGCCCGAUCACACGCGUUCUCGUGGUGGAAACUCGGUUUUCAAGAGUGGGCCGCUUUUUAUAUCAUCCAAAGGUGUGCUUAAUUUACUUAACAUCUUUACUAAAGAUCAAUGGGACAUUGUAUGAAAUGCACUAUUGUAAUGGAUCUUUUGAACAAUGUUGCAAGUGUUGAUGUUAUCUAACCAGUAGCCAUUUUAGUAGUUACUACUGUUCGCUGAAGAUUAAUGACUAAUGAGUGCUUAUCAAUCUAAUGACUAAUCCUAAAAAGAAAAAAAUUCAAAUUACCAAUUAGGGCUUUUGAAUGUAAUGAUUAAUCCUUAAAAAAGUCUAGUGACUAAUUUGGGCUACUGAAUGUGAGAAAACUUGUAGGUUAAUAGC